CAGCCGCCGCGGUAAGACAGAGGAUGCAAGCGUUAUUCGGAAUGAUUGGGCGUAAAGCGUCUGUAGGUGGCUUUUCAAGUCCACCGUCAAAUCCCCGGGCUCAACCCUGGACAAGCAGCGGAAACUACCAAGCUGGAGUACGGUAGGGGUAGAGGGAAUUUCCGGUGGAGCGGUGAAAUGCGUUGAGAUCGGAAAGAACACCAACGACGAAAGCACUCUGCUGGGCCGACACUGAUACUGAGAGACGAAAGCUAGGGGAGCAAAUGGGAUUAGAUACCCGCGUAGUCCCUGUCUCUUAUAC
rnacentral:rRNA from 1 species